rnacentral:ncRNA from 2 species
CAGGAAGCCGGUGUGAAUCCGGCGCGGUCCCGCCACUGUCAUCGGGGAGCGAUCCUCAUCGGCCACGGCCCCAGUGUGGGCUGGAAGGCGAGGGGAGCGAUGAUCCGAGAGCCAGGAUACUG